UACGUAGGGUCCGAGCGUUGUCCGGAAUUAUUGGGCGUAAAGAGCUCGUAGGCGGUGUGUCACGUCGGCCGUGAAAACCUGCAGCUUAACUGUGGGCGUGCGGUCGAUACGGGCAUCACUGGAGUUCGGCAGGGGAGACUGGAAUUCCUGGUGUAGCGGUGAAAUGCGCAGAUAUCAGGAGGAACACCCGGUGGCGAAGGCGGGUCUC
rnacentral:rRNA from 1 species